rnacentral:rRNA from 1 species
CUACGGGCGGCAGCAGUAAGGAAUAUUGGGCAAUGGACGCAAGUCUGACCCAGCCAUGCCGCGUGCAGGAUGACAGCCCUACGGGUUGUAAACUGCUUUUAUACGGGAAAAAACCCCUGCACGAGUUGCGGGGUUGAUGGUACCGUAAGAAUAAGCAUCGGCUAACUCCGUGCCAGCAGCCGCGGUAAUACGGAGGAUGCAAGCGUUAUCCGGAUUCAUUGGGUUUAAAGGGUGCGUAGGCGGAAUGAUAAGUCAGUGGUGAAAUCCUACAGCUUAACUGUAGAACUGCCAUUGAUACUGUUGUUCUUGAGUACAUUUGAAGUGGGCGGAAUGUGUCAUGUAGCGGUGAAAUGCAUAGAGAUGACACAGAACACCGAUCGCGAAGGCAGCUCACUAAACUGUAACUGACGCUGAGGCACGAAAGCGUGGGGAUCAAACAGGAUUAGAUACCCGCGUAGUC